GAUGAACGCUAGCGGCAGGCUUAACACAUGCAAGUCGAGGGGUAUAGUUCUUCGGAAUUAGAGACCGGCGCACGGGUGCGUAACGCGUAUGCAAUCUACCUUUUACAGAGGGAUAGCCCAGAGAAAUUUGGAUUAAUACCUCAUAGCAUUGCAGAAUGGCAUCAUUCAGCAAUUAAAGUCACAACGGUGAAAGAUGAGCAUGCGUCCCAUUAGCUAGUUGGUAAGGUAACGGCUUACCAAGGCUACGAUGGGUAGGGGUCCUGAGAGGGAGAUCCCCCACACUGGUACUGAGACACGGACCAGACUCCUACGGGAGGCAGCAGUGAGGAAUAUUGGUCAAUGGACGCAAGUCUGAACCAGCCAUGCCGCGUGCAGGAUGACGGUCCUAUGGAUUGUAAACUGCUUUUGUACGGGAAGAAACCCUCCUACGUGUAGGAGCUUGACGGUACCGUAAGAAUAAGGAUCGGCUAACUCCGUGC
rnacentral:rRNA from 1 species